AUUGAACGCUGGCGGCAGGCCUAACACAUGCAAGUCGAGCGGAUGAAGGGAGCUUGCUCCUGGAUUCAGCGGCGGACGGGUGAGUAAUGCCUAGGAAUCUGCCUGGUAGUGGGGGACAACGUUUCGAAAGGAACGCUAAUACCGCAUACGUCCUACGGGAGAAAGCAGGGGACCUUCGGGCCUUGCGCUAUCAGAUGAGCCUAGGUCGGAGUAGCUAGUUGGUGGGGUAAAGGCUCACUAAGGCGACGAUCCGUAACUGGUCUGAGAGGAUGAUCAGUCACACUGGAACUGAGACACGGUCCAGACUCCUACGGGAGGCAGCAGUGGGGAAUAUUGGACAAUGGGCGAAAGCCUGAUCCAGCCAUGCCGCGUGUGUGAAGAAGGUCUUCGGAUUGUAAAGCACUUUAAGUUGGGAGGAAGGGUUGUAGAUUAAUACUCUGCAAUUUUGACGUUACCGACAGAAUAAGCACCGGCUAACUCUGUGCCAGCCGCCGCCGUAACAC
rnacentral:rRNA from 1 species